UGGGGGAUAUUGCACAAUGGGCGAAAGCCUGAUGCAGCGACGCCGCGUGGGGGAUGAAGGCCUUCGGGUUGUAAACUUCUUUUGCUCUGAACAAGGCAUGCCUUUGGGGUGUGUUGAGUGUAGGGGUUGAUUAGCGCCGGCUAACUACGUGCCAGCAGCCGCGGUAAUACGUAGGGCGCGAGCGUUGUCCGGAAUUAUUGGGCGUAAAGGGCUUGUAGGUGGCUGGUUGCGUCUGUCGUGAAAGCUCAUGGCUUAACUGUGGGUUUGCGGGGGGUACGGGCUGGCUUGAGUGCAGUAGGGGAGGCUGGAAUUCCUGGUGUAGCGGUGGAAUGCGCAGAUAUCAGGAGGAAUACCGGUGGCGAAGGCGGGUCUCUGGGCUGUUACUGACGCUGAGGAGCGAAAGCGUGGGGAGCGAACAGG
rnacentral:rRNA from 1 species